CUUUAAAGAGCGGCAGCGCUGGUGCCAACAGUCCGGCAGAAGGGACAAACGCGGCUUUCCUGGGUGCUUUCUCGGCCGACGGGAGGGCCUAGAGCCUCCUCUUCAGCGAAGCGCUUCCCCGAAGUUGGCCAUUCAGCGCCGGCCAGGAGCCGCGGUGGGAAGGGGGAGCCCGGUGAUGUCCCGGCCCUACCCGGGCCAGGCCAGGCCAAGGGCUCUCUUGGCAUUUCUCACACUGGUGGUUCGCUCCGAGGAGGCGCGGGUGGGGCCCGAAGAUGUCUCGCCGGUAACCCCAAGCUGAAGAGGAUGUCCGGCGAGGAGGGAUCCGAGAUGCUCACCUCAGAAGCACAGCAAAUAGAUAUUUAUUAAGAUUUCAUGCCAAACAGCGACAGCCUCCUCGACUGCUUAGUGUUGACAUAAACUUCCAGACGUCGAGCAUAUGUUGUUGCACAGCGUUGUUUAUGUGUGCUACCAGAUGUUGCUUUGCAUCCUAUUGUCUGGAGUCAAUGUUUAGUUCAGGUUAAAAUAUCUUUACUUAAACUGCUCAGUUGGCCAUUGUGUGAGCAUUAGUGAAGUGUCAUGGAGAGGUAAUGGGAAGUCCGGGGAGGUUAGCUCUCCGAGCGUGGCCAGGAGGUCCCUGGUUCAUGGUGGGGUUACAGCCACCACUGUCAUCUUUUGUUUUCCCUCCUCAGAGAACCCUUGUCCUUCCUCUAAAAGGAUGUGCCCCGCUCUCUUUCCCUUCGGAGCUUUCUCCGCCGGUUUCAUGAAACGGCCCGAUGUUUGUUUUUCUAUUCCCCUAAAUCGCCCGAAAGAGGAAAGGAAAAGGCGUUUCUGCGUCACAGCCACCCCGGGCCGGGCGGAGCGGGGCGGCCCCGCAGCCCUGUACGAGGGCUGCCGGCGCCGGGGGGAAAUCGGCCCCGACAGAAGAUUUCACA